ACGGGUAGCGUAGUCCAACCUGUGACAGAGGCUCUGGAAGCUGCUAUUGGCUCCCCGCAAUGCGGGACUCUGACUGGACACCAAGCCGCUUGCUUUGGACCCUUCCCGCCUCCAUUUUGGAUGGUUACUAGGCAACCUCCCGGAGGGCCUGCUCAAGACUCCGCUGUAAGGGCGGAGCGCCUUGAUUGGUGUUCAACAACUAAAGUUUGGAGACCAAAACUAGAAAGACUUAAAAGUUAUGCAGCUACCAAGAUGAUGGUCAAUACCUGAUGCUUAUUGAAGAACUUCAGAUAGACCUGAGCUAAAGUGACUCCAUGCUAAUAGGCCAGAGACUGUGCUUCUUCAUAUGCUAAUUGCUAACU